GUCAGUAUGGUGUAGUCGGUUAUCACGCUUGUCUCACACACAGGAGGUCCUCGGUUCGAGUCCGAGUACUGACA
rnacentral:tRNA from 1 species